rnacentral:lncRNA from 1 species
AUCCUUCCUAAAUCUCCAUGUCUUCCUGAUAAUAAUAAUAAUAAUAACUAUAAUAAUAACAAAAGGUGAAUUAAGCUGAAGGGAUGUUCACGGAGGCUCAAACCCACUGGAAGUCAAUCAUCACAUGCCAUUUUUAAGCACUCCAACUCUCAACAAGCCAGAGCUCCACGUGGGGUAGCACAGCUCCCUUCCAGGCAGGGUCUCUGUCCACACUGCUGCUGUCAGAAGGCAGCUGCAUAUUUAUCUCACAGAGCUCAGCAGGCAUCACUCUUGUCUUUUGAAUCACAAAGCAAACAUCUCUCCCUUACUUUGCCAUGGUCUAAUGUGUAGACUGUAUCUCCUUCAGCUGCUUCCAGCAGCAUGGCUUCAGCUCCAAAACUGGAGGUUUCAGCCUUUUCCCCGUUACAGGAUUCAGAUACUUUAACAAGUUUUACUUUGGGCAGAGGAGGAAUGGGAUAAAGAUUGAUACCUCUUCCUCUCCAGGCUGUGCCACCAUGCACAACAUAUCCAGGUUUACUGGCAUAGAGAGGAGCAGGAGCAAUGUCACCGGCCAGCACGGGGAGUGAGGAGUGGAUUUGUAUCCAGGCUCUGCGCAUGAGACAGUUUCUGUUAUUUCUACAGCGUCUUUAGUGUAAAUGCUGGCAGGAUAGCACCAUCAAAUAUCCACUUAACACGGGGUGGUUAGAGCCACAGUCCUGGCAGUGACCUCACCUUUCUGAGAGAGUCUGAACUUGCUCAGGCACAGGUGGAGGGGUUCUCCACUACCCUGGGCAAGUGUGCUCUCUCCAAGCAAGGCCUGAGGAUCUUCCCUGUGGUGAGGCAGAGGGAUGCCCGGCUGCAGCAUCAGCUCUCACUGAGCGCUGCGGAGGGACGCACCUGUCAGGCAGGGCGGGACAGUCCGGGGCACCUAGAGAAGAGCAGCUCACAGAAACCUAAGUGACGCUUGAAAGAGCCUCCUGGGAGCAGGGCACCUGUUCUGCGGCACGCCCCGCCCCUGUCCCCCUCCCAGAGCCCGGCUGCGGCUGCUUUAACCGGGCCGGGGGGGGGGGGGGGGGGGGGGGGGGGGGGGG